AUGCUCACGGCGGCCGUGCCGUCUUCGGCGUCCUCUCCGACUCCGGCCAUCAAGCUCGCUGCGGCCUCCCUCGCCGCCCACAAGGCCGAUCCAACCGUUCAAGGAUGCUUCGCCGCCUCGCGCAAGCUCCCGUGCACGCCCUCAGGGCCGGCCAGUCUGCCUCCUCUGCCAACUGUCCCCGUCCUCGUUGUCGGCGCCUCCUCCGGCCGGCCGGCGGCGCCCUCCGGCCUCCUCUGCUCGUCACCAAGCUCCCAACCGCCCCGGCCUGAUCUGGGUCGGGGGCCUGUGUCCCCGCCGCCGGAGCCACAUUUGUGUUCUGAAGACGUUGUCGUGGAGGUGCCGGAGACCUUUGACGGGUCACCGACAGCGCUGCCCUGCCUGGACGGCUGCCGGCCGCCUGAUGCCCUGUUGAGCUCCAGCCCCAUGGUUUCUGAUGCAGACGCAGACGCAGACUUCCUCGUCGGGCCGGAUGCGGCAUGCGUGGGGCUCGUGGAGGACACUGCAGGCUGGAAGCUUGUCCAGUCCCGCCGUGCGCGGCAGGCACCUCGGUCACCUUCGGCUUUCAUGCCUCAACAGCUUCCCCGGCCGCCCGCGUGGCUCUGGAACAGAUGUUUCCGUUGCUUCGGAGAAGGUCAUCGAGCAGCGGAGUGCAGGGAUCCAAUUCGGUGCAAUAGAUGCUUUUGCUUGGGACACCGUGCACGGGAUGGCUGCAAGCUGGUGCAUCCGCAGCCUUCUGCAAGUUCUACUCGACCGCUGGCUCAUUCUUGGGCUACGAUUGUUGCGCCUUCAUCGGCAUCAGAGAUACACGAGGCCCCGUCCAACAUGAAGACUCUUCGGCGUGAUUCCUCGCCUUACUCGUCGGUUGCUUCGGCUUCUGUCCCGAUAGAUGUGACGCUCCAGCUUGCUCUUGGGGUGCACACAAAGCUACUAGGAUCUGACCUUCAUGGCAUGACUUCCUCACAGAUGGAGGAGGCAAUUAAGCCGCUUCGCGAGGUCGCUGACUCCUUGCAAGGCUGGGUGGUGCGUAUUGGGAGCUUUCUGGAGCGUGCGGAGGCUGCUCUGCAAAGGCUCCCUCUUGCACAGGCUCCCGUGGUUGAGUCUUCUGUUGGCUUCAUGGAUGAGGCGGGUGCGGAGCUCUUUGGUAGCUUCUCGCCCCGUGUUGGGUCUAGUUCGACGCCUCUUGUGUUGCCGAACUCCGUGGGUGAGGCAUCCGCUGAGGUUGUGUCUCCGGUGCUGCAGAUCAUGCCCGAGUUGCAGGUGUUGUGUGGGGAACAUGUUUCGCCUGUGUCGAUGGAGCAGCUCAAGUUGGACUCUCUCCAGGCUUCGAAGGUGGACCCUGUGUCCUCACCACCCCCUGUGGAGCUUUGUCAGGCUUUGGAGGUGGACCUAGUGCCCUCACCACCACCUGUGGAUCCUUGUCAGGGGUCAGACAACCUACCUCUCAGCGUCUUGGAGCACGGAGUUUUAGAUGUUGCUGCCAUUCCCUCGUCUGCAACCAUCGGGCAGGUGAUGCAUGUGAGUGGCAUGACCAUUGAGCCACUUGUGUUGGCACCUACUCCAAAUCCAAAUGCUCUUUUCGCGAAGGAACUUUGUGAUUUGCUAGCCAGUGUGGAGGUUGCUAGACCUGGUUUGGGCAGAAAGCUGCAACUAAGGAUCAUGAAGGGCGUGUUCAGUCCAGUUGCAUGUUCAUCAAUAGACAUGCAACUACAAGCGCUAUAA
rnacentral:rRNA from 1 species